rnacentral:rRNA from 1 species
UAGCUAGUUGGUGGGGUAAGGGCCUACCAAGGCGACGAUCGGUAGCUGGUCUGAGAGGAUGACCAGCCACACUGGAACUGAGACACGGUCCAGACUCCUACGGGAGGCAGCAGUGGGGAAUAUUGGACAAUGGGGGGAACCCUGAUCCAGCAAUGCCGCGUGUGUGAAGAAGGCCUGAGGGUUGUAAAGCACUUUCAGUGGGGAGGAGGGUUGAUAGGUUAAGAGCUAAUUAACUGGACGUUACCCACAGAAGAAGCACCGGCUAACUCCGUGCCAGCAGCCGCGGUAAUACGGAGGGUGCGAGCGUUAAUCGGAAUUACUGGGCGUAAAGCGUGCGUAGGUGGUUGAUUAAGUUAUCUGUGAAAUCCCUGGGCUUAACCUGGGCAGGUCAGAUGAUACUGGUUGACUCGAGUAUGGGAGAGGGUAGUGGAAUUUCCGGUGUAGCGGUGAAAUGCGUAGAGAUCGGAAGGAACACCAGUGGCGAAGGCGGCUACCUGGCCUAAUACUGACACUGAGGCACGAAAGCGUGGGGAGCAAACAGGAUUAGAUACCCUGGUAGUCCACGCUGUAAACGAUGUCAACUAGCUGUUGGUUAUAUGAAAAUAAUUAGUGGCGC